CUCAGGCAGAAGAACUGGGGUAGAAGACAACAGUGCACAACUCGUGCAGUCUGUGGAAGGAAUGCUCUCUGUACUCCUCCUCUGCUUCCAUAAGACUGAAGAAAUCGAUUGUUCUUGGGAUUAAUCUAGUUAGAUCAAGGUGCUCACAUCUGCUCCAGUGUAGCCUUAUUUCAUUGACAGUUGCCACUCUAUCAGACAUGCUCUGUCCCAUGGGGAGAGCAUGAGUGCUUUUAUCAUCUCAAGAGGAAAGAUGAAGGACAAGGCCUCAUCCCUUCAAACAGGAAGUGGAGCAGAGAGACUAGGCUUUGCUCCUGUUUUUAGUCAUCUUGUGGCCUUGAGGAAAGAGUCUAUGCUUUUAGGGGUUGGGGAUUUAGCUCAGAGGAAGAGCGCUUGCCUAGCAAGCGCAAGGCCCUGGGUUCGGUCCCCAGCUCCAAAAAAAAAAAAAAAAAA
rnacentral:lncRNA from 1 species